CGCAGUGUAGGUGCGAGCGUGCGGGGGUAAACGGAGGGGGACAGGAUGGUCCGGAGUGUGGGGGCGAAAAGGUGGCGCAGGCGGGCGGUCAAGGCGGGGUUGAAAGACCGCGGGGCAACUGGGGAGGGUGACGCGGAACUGAUUGAAUCGAAGGCAGGAGAGGGGAGUGGAAGUCCGGGUGUAGUGGUGAAAUGCGGAGAUAUCGGGAGGAACGCCAGUGGCGAAGGCGACUACCUGGCCUGUUGUUGACGCUGAGGCGCGAAAGCUAGGGGAGCAAACGGGAUUAGAUACCCGAGUAGUC
rnacentral:rRNA from 1 species